rnacentral:lncRNA from 1 species
UUACCGACUCCAUGGACUCGACCUAACCUCUUACGAAUCUCACGCAAUCCUCUGGGUUGUCCACGCCCUCACGUUCGAAUCCACGAACGUCACGUUCUGAAUCCACGAAACGCCUCCACUCUGAAUCCACGAAGCUCACGAUCCGAAUCCACGUACUGCUGUCAAUCACGCCGAAUCCACGACGCCAUCCAUAAAAACAUCACGCUAU